rnacentral:rRNA from 1 species
UGGGGAAUUUUGGACAAUGGGCGAAAGCCUGAUCCAGCAAUGCCGCGUGUGUGAAGAAGGCCUUCGGGUUGUAAGGCACUUUUGUCCGGAAAGAAAUCCUUGGCUCUAAUACAGUCGGGGGAUGACGGUACCGGAAGAAUAAGCACCGGCUAACUACGUGCCAGCAGCCGCGGUAAUACGUAGGGUGCAAGCGUUAAUCGGAAUUACUGGGCGUAAAGCGUGCGCAGGCGGUUUGCUAAGACCGAUGUGAAAUCCCCGGGCUCAACCUGGGAACUGCAUUGGUGACUGGCAGGCUAGAGUAUGGCAGAGGGGGUAGAAUUCCACGUGUAGCAGUGAAAUGCGUAGAGAUGUGGAGGAAUACCGAUGGCGAAGGCAGCCCCCUGGGCCAAUACUGACGCUCAUGCACGAAAGCGUGGGGAGCAAACAGGAUUAGAUACCCUGGUAGUCCACGCCCUAAACGAUGUCAACUAGUUGUUGGGGAUUCAUUUCCUUAGUAACGUAGCUAACGCGUGAAGUUGACCGCCUGGGGAGUACGGUCGCAAGAUUAAAACUCAAAGGAAUUGACGGGGUCAUAGCUG